UACGAAGGGGGCUAGCGUUGCUCGGAAUCACUGGGCGUAAAGCGCACGUAGGCGGCUUUUUAAGUCAGGGGUGAAAUCCUGGAGCUCAACUCCAGAACUGCCUUUGAUACUGGGAAGCUUGAGUCCGGGAGAGGUGAGUGGAACUCCGAGUGUAGAGGUGAAAUUCGUAGAUAUUCGGAAGAACACCAGUGGCGAAGGCGGCUCACUGGCCCGGUACUGACGCUGAGACGCGAAAGCGUGGGGAGCAAACAGG
rnacentral:rRNA from 1 species